AUGAACGCUGGCGGCGUGCCUAAUACCUGCAAGUCGAGCGAACGGACGAGAAGCUUGCUUCUCUGAUGUUAGCGGCGGACGGGUGAGUAACACGUGGAUAACCUACCUAUAAGACUGGGAUAACUUCGGGAAACCGGAGCUAAUACCGGAUAAUAUUUUGAACCGCAUGGUUCAAAAGUGAAAGACGGUCUUGCUGUCACUUAUAGAUGGAUCCGCGCUGCAUUAGCUAGUUGGUAAGGUAACGGCUUACCAAGGCAACGAUGCAUAGCCGACCUGAGAGGGUGAUCGGCCACACUGGAACUGAGACCCGGUCCAGACUCCUACGGGAGGCAGCAGUAGGGAAUCUUCCGCAAUGGGCGAAAGCCUGACGGAGCAACGCCGCGUGAGUGAUGAAGGUCUUCGGAUCGUAAAACUCUGUUAUUAGGGAAGAACAUAUGUGUAAGUAACUGUGCACAUCUUGACGGUACCUAAUCAGAAAGCCACGGCUAACUACGUG
rnacentral:rRNA from 1 species